rnacentral:lncRNA from 1 species
GAAAAUAGAAAAGGAAGAAAUUAGGGCUUACCUUAGGCUGCCCGUCGAUCCAGAGAGAAAGGCGAGGGAGUCGAGGGUGGCGACACCUGGUGGCUGGUCGCGGUGGCCGAAGGAGAAGAGGGGAGGGGUGAAUUUUCGAUCUGGACUUUGGGGGCUGAGAGAGAGCGGUCGUGGUUUGGGGUCUGGGUUCUGAAACGGCACGGCGGCUUACCGCUGUCAGUUCGCCGGAGGGAGAUGGCGGCCGGGGCGGUGCAGGCGGCUGCGGGCGCUCUUCGGGGUGGCGCUGUACCCGCUGAACCGGUCGCAGAUGGUGGAGCUCGGGGCGUUACAGGGGCGCCGGGUUUCGGUGAGUGAAGGGAGAGCCGAGGGUGGCGCGGCCUAUCGCCGCUGCUCCUCAGGCGAAUUCCGUGGCGGCGACGGCUGGAUCAAGCAAGAGAGAGAGAUGAUGAACAGUGUUCGUUUCUUGAGAAUGUAGAGAGAGAUAGAGGAGAAGAGAGAGUCGAGAGAGAGAGAGCCGAGAGAUAGAGAUAGAGAGAGAGAGGCGCAUGUUUUGAUGUGUGUGUUGGGAGGUGUAAUUGUGUGUGUAUAUUUAGGUUAGGAAUUGGGCCGGGUUUGGGCCGAUUUUUUUUAAAUGUUGGGCCGAUUUAAUUAAAUUCUUGGGCCGAUUUAAUUAAAUUGUUU